rnacentral:tRNA from 1 species
UGCCCCCUCGUCUAAGGGCAAGACCCCGGUCUUUGGAACCGGUAAUCCAGGUUCGAAUCCUGGGGGGGCAA